rnacentral:rRNA from 1 species
GGAUUAGAUACCCUGGUAGUCCUUGCCGUAAACGAUGCAUACUUGGUGUAGUUGGUCUCAACCCCGACUGUGCCGUAGCUAACGCGUUAAGUAUGCCACCUGGGGAGUACGCUCGCAAGAGUGAAACUCAAAAGAAUUGACGGGGGCCCGCACAAGCAGUGGAUCAUGUGGUUUAAUUCGAUGCAACGCGAAGAACCUUACCCAGGCUUGACAUCUGGAAGACCGCAUCAGAGAUGAUGUUUCCCGCAAGGGCUUCUUGACAGGUGCUGCAUGGCUGUCGUCAGCUCGUGCCG